CUCCUAAACUCUUCCUACCCCUAAAUAAGAAACACCAGCCUAUGGUGGGAGGACACGUUUAAGGAUGGACAAGACUAAAGGCCAGCAAUAUUGAAGAGAAAAUAAUGGAGAGGGAAGGAGUGUACAUCUGCAAGAAAAGAGAAUCAGGGAUUGUUUUUUGGAUUAGAAAAUUCCAUUCUGCCCUUUCCUAGAAUGUCACAGAACUUCUACUGAUGCUUGGCAUGUUUUGGAUUUCUGGACUAUACCCGAG
rnacentral:lncRNA from 1 species